AACGAACGCUGGCGGCAUGCCUAACACAUGCAAGUCGAACGAGACCUUCGGGUCUAGUGGCGCACGGGUGCGUAACGCGUGGGAAUCUGCCCUUGGGUUCGGAAUAACAGUUAGAAAUGACUGCUAAUACCGGAUGAUGACUUCGGUCCAAAGAUUUAUCGCCCAGGGAUGAGCCCGCGUAGGAUUAGCUUGUUGGUGAGGUAAAAGCUCACCAAGGCGACGAUCCUUAGCUGGUCUGAGAGGAUGAUCAGCCACACUGGGACUGAGACACGGCCCAGACUCCUACGGGAGGCAGCAGUGGGGAAUAUUGGACAAUGGGCGAAAGCCUGAUCCAGCAAUGCCGCGUGAGUGAUGAAGGCCUUAGGGUUGUAAAGCUCUUUUACCCGGGAUGAUAAUGACAGUACC
rnacentral:rRNA from 1 species